AGUGAUGGGUGGCAUUCUCAGCUGUAGUAGUGGACAAAAUGUGCCAUCCAUUGGAAAGUCCAAGAAAUCCUCAAUGCCUUCUGGAUUGGUCAAAAAUUUGAAUGCUGGAGACUUGUUUUUGCUCCCAUAACUGAUUCUGCUUCAAAUCAUGGCCUAAUCCCAACAAUUCUCUAUGGGUGAGCAAUUUUGACAGACUUGCCAAAUUCCAGGAAUAAAAAGCUUCAGCAUUCAAAUUUUGAAA